GUCUCCUUCUACCUCUCAAGGCACUGUCUACAACAGGCCAUCCUGGUUCAGCAUGUGCAUGGUUACCAUAUCUGGCAGGGGUGGGCCAGCCCAACCCCCACUUUGUCGGUCUAGUGCUACUUCUGGUAGCUCCAGUAUAUGGCUGAUCUGU